GGACUAUGGCUCAGCGGUAGAGCGCUUGCCUAGCACGCAUGAGGCCCUGGGUUCGAUUCUCAGCACCA
rnacentral:tRNA from 1 species